UCUUGCGGUUCACUUGGCAAAACUUUCCCAAAUUCAUUCAUUUCAACUCUUAAUUUAGCGAGACACCCUUUCACUUUUUGUACAUCCAUUCAAUCCUCACUAUUUAAGAUAAUCCGCAGAUAUGGGAUCAGAACACAAACCAAAUUCUGACUGGAGGAAAUUUGCAAUAUACUGGCAACAGGUAAGUCAACAACAUGCUAUCAUUUGAUCAUUGCUUCGGGCUUCAAUUAAUUAAUUAUUUUCAGGAUUAUAUUCAACUAACAAUGACCAUCUGUUGCAGAUCAUCUAACUACCAUAAGAAUGGCAAUUCAGACUAUCACUUGGAUGAGCGCCUUCCUCUGCCUCGCGCAGGUUUUCUCGAUGCCCAUGCCUUGCCAGCUACAAGGACAGCUGCUGCGAACAACCCACAACCUACUGAGAGACAUGGGCGGUCAUUUUCCUCUGGAGUGCCUGCAGGAGAAUGUCUUCAUGGCAUUCCCAGCCACCUCAUUUGCAACCUCCGGGGCGCCACAGUUGAGCAGCAGUGCUGCUAAGGCUAUUUAUGAGACAUUGAAGAACAUCGACACAUUGUUCGGAACUGACGAACUGCCGACAAUGUGGGACCAACAGAAGUUGGAGUAUUUUCAGAACAUUAUCUACCGUCAGAUUGAAGAGAGCGAGUGUAUGAGCAGUGUGGAUACAAGUGAUUAUCCCAUCAGGGCAGAGGGCCUGAAGACAUACUUUGGGAACAUUGCAGCAGUUUUAAAAGAAAAGAAUUUCAGUUACUGCGCCUGGGAAGUGGUUCGAAAAGAACUCCUGUACACCCUAGAAUUCAUUCUGAAACACAACUCUGACAGCCUUCUGUGGUCCAACAGAACAUGAAUUUGAACUUGCAGAUCUUUUUUUACUAAUGUGUUUUACAAUUGUGCUUGAUUUUUAAAGCCUUCUAUUCUACAAUCAUGCAAUGUGCAAUGUCAAACAGCAAUAUCAUACAUGUAUUUAUUUAUGUAUUUAUUUAUCAAGGUUAUUUAUUGAUGUAGGCCUAUUUAUGAAUCUAUUUAUCUAUUUGAAAAUCGUGCCUUUUGUUGCUCUUCAUCAAAUGUUAAGUUAAUAAAAUAAAAAAUACUUUUAAAUAUUGGUAAUCUCAGUGCUCAUUCUGUAUCCAAGUCCAAGGUGUGAUUUUAUGUAGUUAUUUUCUAUUUCACCUUUAUUUAACCAGGUAGGCCAGUUCAGAACAAAUGAUCAU